GAGGAGGAGGAGAUGACGGGGGAGCGGGAGCUCGAGAAUACUGCCCAGUUACUCUAGCGCGCCAGGCCGAACCGCAGCUUCUUGGCUUAGGUACUUCUACUCACAGCGGCCGAUUCCGAGGCCAACUCCAGCAAUGGCUUUUGCAAACCUGCGGAAAGUGCUCAUCAGUGACAGCCUGGACCCUUGCUGCCGGAAGAUCUUGCAAGAUGGAGGGCUGCAGGUGGUGGAAAAGCAGAACCUUAGCAAAGAGGAGCUGAUAGCCGAGCUGCAGGACUGUGAAGGCCUUAUUGUUCGCUCUGCCACCAAGGUGACCGCUGAUGUCAUCAACGCAGCUGAGAAACUCCAGGUGGUGGGCAGGGCUGGCACAGGUGUGGACAAUGUGGAUCUGGAGGCCGCAACAAGGAAGGGCAUCUUGGUUAUGAACACGCCCAAUGGGAACAGCCUCAGUGCCGCAGAACUCACCUGUGGGAUGAUCAUGUGCCUGGCCAGGUAAGUCCUUGACUUC
rnacentral:sRNA from 1 species